rnacentral:rRNA from 1 species
UACGGAGGGGGCUAGCGUUGUUCGGAAUUACUGGGCGUAAAGCGCGCGUAGGCGGACCUGCCAGUCGGGGGUGAAAGCCCGAGGCUCAACCUCGGAACCGCCGUCGAUACUGCGGGUCUCGAGUCCGGGAGAGGUGAGUGGAAUUCCUAGUGUAGAGGUGAAAUUCGUAGAUAUUAGGAAGAACACCAGUGGCGAAGGCGGCUCACUGGCCCGGUACUGACGCUGAGGGGCGAAAGCGUGGGGAGCAAACAGG